CAAAUUGAACACUCCUUACGAUUCCAUUUAUUGAAUAUUAAUAUCACUUUAUCAUUGUUAAUCAACUAUGAGUGUAACAAUGGAAUAUCAUAUGCGCCUAAAAAGUACAAUCCUACACAGUACAAACAAUUUUGUUGGAUGACAGUCAAAAUGGAAAAAAAGAAAGGCAAAAUAAUGGUUCGUAUCUUUCCAUUAAUAAAUCUCAAAAUAAACAUGGAAGAUAACCUAGAGACUAUGUCUACUCUCCUAUUUAAAAGGAAUGAAGAUUCAUCUAUAUUCGAUAAUGUGAUAUCGAAGAAAAAUUGA